rnacentral:tRNA from 1 species
GGGGUAUGGCUCAGUUGGUAGAGCGCCUCGUUCGCAACGAGGAGGCCAGCGGUUCGAAUCCGCUUAUCUCC